CUGAAACUGGCCCUGCUCUGGAAGGGCGGGGAGAGACCGGAGAAAGGGGCAGCCACUCCAGAUUGGUUGCAUCCUUGAAAUGGCUCCGGCUACAGGAACAAUGAGCGGAACGUACCUUCCAAGCCCAGGAUUGGAGGUGGGGAGCCUCCCACUGCCUGGUCCAUCUAGCGGGUCAUCCGGCCUCAAGUCCUCCGGGUUACCUCCUCCGAGUAUGACUUCUUCACCGUUCUCUCAGCAUGAUACACUGCUUGGAGCAGUUCAUACUUACUGACUCUGUACUUCACAUUCACUGGAAGUUGCUGAUAAAAUCAAGAAACAAAUCAAGAGAGAACACUAAGCUCACCAAAACCCAAUAGUAUGCCUUUUACUUAAUCUGCUGUAAACAUGCUAUUUGUUUUAAAAUGAAUAGAGGAAAUUUUUCAGUAUCUUAA